AUUGGAAGCAAGCAACCUGUCAUGGCGCCUCUGUCAGUCACCUUCCCCCCUCCCUCUCCUGCUCGGCUCUGGACGCGACCAGCUGGUUCCAAUCAUCACCUCGUUAAACCGCCUACUUCAGGAGAUCCAGGACCUGACGUCAACGCCAGUCCGUUGUUCUUACCACGGAAUCAUCCUCACGAGUGUGCUCCUCGGGCUACAGUUCUCCAGUUCCCCUCUACGUCUUCCCUUCGGAUCCAGCAAGCCUCAGUCUCGAGCUCCGUCUGCCUCCACCCUCCAGUCAGCCGCCACGCAGCAACAAAGACUUGGUCACAGACUCUCCUUCAGAGAAAUUAAAUCUUUCUUAUACUUA